rnacentral:rRNA from 1 species
UACGGAGGAUGCAAGCGUUGUCCGGAUUCAUUGGGCGUAAAGAGCUCGUAGGCGGCUGUUCAAGUCGAACGUGAAAACUCGGAGCUCAACUCCGAGCCUGCGUUCGAGACUGGAUGGCUAGAGUUUGGUAGGGGGAUCUGGAAUUCCUGGUGUAGCGGUGGAAUGCGCAGAUAUCAGGAGGAACACCGGUGGCGAAGGCGGGAUCCUGGGCCAGUACUGACGCUGAGGAGCGAAAGCGUGGGGAGCAAACAGG